UACGAAGGGGGCUAGCGUUGCUCGGAAUCACUGGGCGUAAAGCGCACGUAGGCGGCUUUCUAAGUCAGGGGUGAAAUCCUGGAGCUCAACUCCAGAACUGCCUUUGAUACUGGAGAGCUAGAGUCCGGAAGAGGUGAGUGGAACUGCGAGUGUAGAGGUGAAAUUCGUAGAUAUUCGCAAGAACACCAGUGGCGAAGGCGGCUCACUGGUCCGGUACUGACGCUGAGGUGCGAAAGCGGUGGGGAGCAAACAGG
rnacentral:rRNA from 1 species